CCUACGGGUGGCAGCAGUGGGGAAUAUUGGACAAUGGGGGGAACCCUGAUCCAGCCAUGCCGCGUGUGUGAAGAAGGCCCUCGGGUUGUAAAGCACUUUCAGUGAGGAAGAACGCCUGGUGGUUAAUACCCAUCAGGAAAGACAUCACUCACAGAAGAAGCACCGGCUAACUCCGUGCCAGCAGCCGCGGUAAUACGGAGGGUGCGAGCGUUAAUCGGAAUUACUGGGCGUAAAGCGCGCGUAGGUGGCUUGAUAAGCCGGUUGUGAAAGCCCCGGGCUCAACCUGGGAACGGCAUCCGGAACUGUCAAGCUAGAGUGCAGUAGAGGAAGGUAGAAUUCCCGGUGUAGCGGUGAAAUGCGUAGAGAUCGGGAGGAAUACCAGUGGCGAAGGCGGCCUUCUGGACUGACACUGACACUGAGGUGCGAAAGCGUGGGUAGCAAACAGGAUUAGAUACCCUUGUAGUC
rnacentral:rRNA from 1 species